AAUGGCAAUUACAAUGGGAAGCAAAGCUGUAAGGAGGAGCGAAUCCGAAAAGGUUGCCUCAGUUUGGAUUGCUUUCUGCAACUCGGGAACAUGAAG
rnacentral:ncRNA from 1 species